rnacentral:tRNA from 1 species
GCCCGGCUAGCUCAAUCGGUAGAGCGUGAGACUCUUAAAACAGUCGAUGAUCUCUUCUUCGGACUCUAGACAAUCUCAAGGUUGUGGGUUCGACCCCCACGUCGGGCU